UUGGAGGGCAAGUCUGGUGCCAGCAGCCGCGGUAAUUCCAGCUCCAAUAGCGUAUAUUAAAGUUGUUGCAGUUAAAAAGCUCGUAGUUGAAUUUCGGGAUCAAUAUACCGGUCAUGCCUUGGUAUGCACUGGUAUCUUUGAUUUCUCCCUUCUGACGAACUUUGAUGUCAUUAAUUUGGUGUCAUAGGGAAUCAGGACUGUUACUUUGAAAAAAUUAGAGUGUUUAAAGCAGGCUCACGCUUGAAUACAUUAGCAUGGAAUAAUGAAAUAGGACGUUUGAUUCUAUUUUGUUGGUUUCUAGGAUCGACGUAAUGAUUAAUAGGGAUAGCUGGGGGCAUUAGUAUUCAAUUGUCAGAGGUGAAGUUCUUGGAUUUAUUGAAGACUAACUACUGCGAAAGCAUUUGCCAAGGAUGUUUUCAUUAAUCAAGAACGAAAGUUAGGGGAUCGAAGACGAUCAGAUACCGUCGUAGUCUUAACCAUAAACUAUGCCGACUAGGGAUCGGAUGAUGUUAAUUUUUUAAUGACUCAUUCGGCACCUUACGGGAAAC
rnacentral:rRNA from 1 species